UACGUAGGGGGCUAGCGUUGUCCGGAUUUAUUGGGCGUAAAGAGCGUGUAGGCGGCCAGGUAGGUCUGCUGUGAAAACUCGAGGCUCAACCUCGAGACGUCGGCGGAAACCAUCUGGCUAGAGUCCGGAAGAGGAGAGUGGAAUUCAUGGUGUAGCGGUGAAAUGCGCAGAUAUCAGGAAGAACACCCGUGGCGAAGGCGGCUCUCUGGGACGGUACUGACGCUGAGACGCGAAAGCGUGGGGAGCGAACAGG
rnacentral:rRNA from 1 species